UCUGUUUAUGUAGAAUGAUUUUGUUAAAAG
rnacentral:piRNA from 1 species